GUUAGUGGAGCGGGGGUGGGGGGCACUGAGCUUGGUGGAUUGCUUGACUUGCGGAGUUCUGAGCUAGCAUGGGACUGAAGUCAGUUAAACAUCCACACUAAGUCUGGCAUCAGUAUGAGCCUCCAGCAGAUAUUCAGAGACAGAACUGAACAGGUUGUUUGUAUGAGCUUUGAAACACUGAGUCAUCAGAAUCCACCAACCAGUGUCAGUAACAGAGUCUGCCAGGCAAGUCAACACCCAAGUCCAGAGAAGAGACCACGAAGGAUGUGAGUAACCUGCUUGAUCCAGCCCAGCUGAGCAUGGGAAUGAUUCAUCUACCAGUUAUACACAUCUGCAAGGGAAUUUGACUGGCGGCAAAACCAGGUUAUGUUACAAACAGCAGAGAGACAUGUUGGAGACCAGCUAGAGACAGUAUGGCAGUGAAUCUAAGGGAAACAGCGAACAGUAACCACACCUUAUAGCAGACCAAGAUGGCACUUGAUCUUGGAACUUCCAGUGAUCUGUGUACUCAACAGCCAGGAACAGAAAGCUUUUGCCUAGACAGUCUGCCAAGACUGGGUGUUGGUAAGAGUAUUCUUCCCCUUUCCCCUUGAGAUUCUGGGCCUUGUGAAGGGAAAAGGAAAACUCCCCUAGCAAAAGCAUUUGGUCAUGCCCACAUGCAUCAAAGAUGUGGUGUGGGGAGGAGAAAACAUGGGUUAGAAGUUGAGAUUUCAGACUUUUUUCUA